GAUGAACGCUGGCGGCGUGCUUAACACAUGCAAGUCGAACGAAGCACUUUAACCUGAUUCUUCGGAUGAAGGUUUUUGUGACUGAGUGGCGGACGGGUGAGUAACGCGUGGGUAACCUGCCUCAUACAGGGGGAUAACAGUUAGAAAUGACUGCUAAUACCGCAUAAGACCACAGAGCCGCAUGGCUCGGUGGGAAAAACUCCGUUGGUAUGAGAUGGACCCGCGUCUGAUUAGGUAGUUGGUGGGGUAACGGCCUACCAAGCCAACGAUCAGUAGCCGACCUGAGAGGGUGACCGGCCACAUUGGGACUGAGACACGGCCCAAACUCCUACGGGAGGCAGCAGUGGGGAAUAUUGCACAAUGGGGGAAACCCUGAUGCAGCGACGCCGCGUGAGCGAAGAAGUAUUUCGGUAUGUAAAGCUCUAUCAGCAGGGAAGAAAAUGACGGUACCUGACGAAGAAGCACCGGCUAAAUACGUG
rnacentral:rRNA from 1 species